GGUCUUUUUAGAUGGAGAAUCAAGGGGAUAAGAUGGGGGUGGUCAGGACCGACCCCCUGUCUCCCUCUCGUCGAUCUAUUCACGGUUCUUUCCCCCCUCUCGUUUCUUUUCUUCAUCUCCUUCCCCCUUCUUCUCUUUACCUAGGGUAAGGAUUUUGUGAUGAAAAAUUGAGACCUUGUACUAUGGAUUCGCAGGGAAUGGAGGCCCUUCCCUCCUCUUGCCCUCUAGGGUUUUGAUCCGAUUCGAUUCAUGUCUCUGUUUGGUUGGAAUUUUGGGAUCUCCCUUUCCGUUUUGUUCUUGUGUUGUUUUUUAGCAGAGUUCUUGGAGGCACGGAGGAGUGCACACGGUGUCACGGGCUUUGCCACGAGCGGCGUCGCUCUAGCGCCACGGUGGUGCGGCAAGCAGCAGCGCCGGCGGUGACUCAGCGACGCGCAGCAGGAAGCGGCAAGCAGUAGCGCCGGUAGCAGUGUUGGGCGGCGGUGCAAGGCAAGCCCUCUGCUCCAGCUUCCGCAGCACUAGGCCAGCAGGCCAAACCAGCAGCAAGGGCUUGCGGCCCAACGCGCAGCAGCCCAGCUCGGCACGCACCUCACGGGCAGAGGUGAGUGGUCAGGCCAAACCACGCAGCCGAAUAGAAUGACGUUCUGGAGUGUCACGGUUGUGGAGUACCAAGACAGGCAUCUAUGUAUCUCAAACCUUACUUUUGAAUCUUAAUUUGCUAUUAUGGAUUAUUGCUUGUGCAUGAGCUUAACCCUAUCUAGUUCAUGUGAUCUGUGUAGAAUCCACUUUGGCAUGUUUUCUCUUAUUGUUCUAGAAUAACUUAUACUAGGUAAAAUAUGUAUGUUUAGACUUCUUGAAUUAAUUUGCUUAGUCAUGCUUAGCUUACGGUAGAAGUCGAGAGCUGGCAAGUUCACCAUCACUCGCGAGCUAUAGGGUGUUUGCCUAAAUAUACUUGAGUAGAUGAGAGAGAUUAAAACAUGAGCAAGGUAUGAAUGAUGAAUCGAGACUUGAGCAAGUGUGGUAGGGCCAUGUUGGAAGUGGAAUCCAAAUGGUUCAAACUUGCUGGUCGAUUAAGGAUCGGUCGUUAUUGUUGUGAUACUUGAGCACUUCUCCAUAUAAACUACAUGCUUUAUAAUGGGAUGGUAAACUCAAUAUACGCGCACCCUUCAUUGAGCGGAUUCAGCGGUUUGUGAUGGGGUGUAGUCGGCGGUUCCGUUGCACCUGUCCAUCCCGGCCGUUCGUCUCAGCUUAGGGAAUGGGUAUGCGGACGGUUGACACGUGAAUUAUUGCUUACGGACCGACGAGUAGUAUGGCCUAUGGUCUCGUGCCGUGUGGGAAAAGUUGUACACUCCUGCAGGGUAUUAAUCUAUCGCAAUAGUCAUGUUCUUGGUCAUUGAGCGCUCCUGUACUUGGACUUUAACGUAGAGUUUCGCGAAGGGUUUAUAGAAAAUUGAGCUCAUGAUUACAUGAUCACUUUACUUAUGCAAUUGUAUUGGUGCUCGAUAUAGAAAUGUCAGAUGUCAUCUCUUUUGCUUAUUCACUUGACAACUAUGCUCGCAUUUGUAUUGAUAAAUGUUAAAAUUUGACUAGCCUAUUGCUCCACCAAAUGUAUAGUAUUAUGGAUAAGUCCUGUAAGUACGAAAUGUUCUUACGGUGUUGCCGUUAAAUUGUUUUGCAGGUGUUCUUCUAAUGAGUGAUGGCCAUGUUCAUCACGCCGCAGCCGGUAAAGUGGAUGGAUGGUGGUCGAAGUCUCUCGAAGCUUAUGCAAUUGGUGUCUUGGGCAAGAACAUCAUUGUUGCUACUUAAUACUCUCUAAGUUUACCGCUGCGUUUUAACUCAGAAUCUAAGCAAAACUUAGACCUAGGAUACACCUUAGUUUGUAAAGAACCUUUAAAUGCUGAAAAUCCUCUUGUUUAGUUGCUUAUGUUAUAGUUAACUUCAUGAGUUUUUGUAAGAUGAUUAAGACUUGUAAUCAAAAGUUUAAAAUUUUGCUCUCA